AAGUCGUAACAAGGUUUCCGUAGGUGAACCUGCGGAAGGAUCAUUAUUGUUUAGGGGGCCUCACCGCCCCUUUGCAACGAUGCAACCCUUUGUUCUUGCCGUAACGUUUGUUUCCCUCGGUGCCUCCGGGCGCCAGAUGGGACCUUAAACCCUUUGCAAUCGAGUUAUUUCAGUCGCAGAAAUUAUCAAAACUUUCAACAAUGGAUCUCUUGGCUCUG
rnacentral:misc_RNA from 1 species